rnacentral:piRNA from 1 species
AUGUGGGGAUAAACCCUCGUGGCGUCAG